rnacentral:rRNA from 1 species
ACGUAGGGUGCGAGCGUUAAUCGGAAUUACUGGGCGUAAAGCGUGCGUAGGCGGUUCGCUGUGUCCGAUGUGAAAGCCCCGGGCUUAACCUGGGAAAGGCAUUGGAAACUGGCGGGCUUGAGUGUGGCAGAGGGGGGUGGAAUUCCGCGUGUAGCAGUGAAAUGCGUAGAGAUCAGGAAGAACACCGAUUGCGAAGGCAGCCGGCUAAACUGUAACUGACGCUGAGGCACGAAAGCGUGGGGAUCGAACAGG